rnacentral:rRNA from 1 species
AAUAGAUACCCUGGUAGUCCACGCCGUAAACGAUGUCGACUUGGAGGUUGUUCCCUUGAGGAGUGGCUUCCGGAGCUAACGCGUUAAGUCGACCGCCUGGGGAGUACGGCCGCAAGGUUAAAACUCAAAUGAAUUGACGGGGGCCCGCACAAGCGGUGGAGCAUGUGGUUUAAUUCGAUGCAACGCGAAGAACCUUACCUACUCUUGACAUCCAGAGAACUUAGCAGAGAUGCUUUGGUGCCUUCGGGAACUCUGAGACAGGUGCUGCAUGGCUGUCGUCAGCUCGUGUUGUGAAAUGUUGGGUUAAGUCCCGCAACGAGCGCAACCCUUAUCCUUUGUUGCCAGCGGUUAGGCCGGGAACUCAAAGGAGACUGCCAGUGAUAAACUGGAGGAAGGUGGGGAUGACGUCAAGUCAUCAUGGCCCUUACGAGUAGGGCUACACACGUGCUACAAUGGCGCAUCAAAGAGAAGCGACCUCGCGAGAGCAAGCGGACCUCAUAAAAGUGCGUCGUAGUCCGGA